rnacentral:rRNA from 1 species
GCUGGCGGCAUGGCUAAGACAUGCAAGUCGAACGGACUUUAUGAUUGGGUAACCUUGAAUAAAGUUAGUGGCGAAAGGGUGAGGAAUAGAUAGGAACGUGCCUUUGGCUUCGGAAUAGCGUCCCGAAAGGGGCGGUAAUACCAGAUAACGUCUACGGACCAAAGAUUUAUCGGCCUUAGAGCGGCCUAUCUCCUAUCAGCUUGUUGGUGGGGUAAUGGCCUACCAAGGCAACGACGGGUAGCGGGACUGAGAGGUUGGCCCGCCACAUCGGGACUGAGACACUGCCCGGACCUCCACGGAGGGCUGCAGUAACGAAUAUUGGGCAAUGGGCGAAAGCCUGACCCAGCAAUGCCGCGUGUAGGAUGAAGCCCCUCGGGGUGUAAACUACUGUCAGGGGUUAGAAAGCUACGGUUGAUCAACCCCAGAGGAAGUCACGGCUAACUUCGUGCCAGCAGCCGCGGUAAUACGAAGGUGGCGAGCGUUAUUCGGAAUUACUGGGCUUAAAGCGCACGCAGGCGGAAUAUUUAGCGUCUUGUGAAAUCCCCCGGCUUAACCGGGGAAUUGCAGGGCGAACUGGUAUUCUCGAGGCCAGUAGGGGUGCAUGGAACUCUUGGUGCAGCGGUGGAAUGCGUAGAUAUCAAGACGAACGCCGAUGGUGAAGACAGUGCACUGGGGCUUUGUCCUGACGCUGAGGUGCGAAAGCGUGGGGAGCGAACGGGAUUAGAUACCCCGGUAGUCCACGCCGUAAACGAUGCCUACUAGGUCGUGGUUGUUCUGACACACUCACGGCCGAAGCAAAAGUGUUUAGUAGGCCGCCUGGGGAGUACGGUCGCAAGGCUAAAACUCAAAGGAAUUGACGGGGGCUCACACAAGCGGUGGAGCAUGUGGAUUAAUUCGAAGCAACGCGCAGAACCUUACCUGGGUUUGACAUGUAUGGAUGCCUGCUGUGAAAACAGUUAGGUUGCCUUCGGGUGAAACUUACACAGGUGCUGCAUGGCUGUCGUCAGCUCGUGUCGUGAGAUGUCGGGUUAAGUCCUUUAACGAGCGAAACCCUUGCCGUUAGUUGCCAGCGGGUCAUGCCGGGGACUCUAACGGGACUGCCGGUGUCAAACCGGAGGAAGGUGGGGAUGACGUCAAGUCCUCAUGGCCUUUAUGCCCAGGGCCUCACACGUGCUACAAUGGGUGCUACAGAGCGACGCGAGACCGCGAGGUGGAGCUAAUCGCAAAAAAGCAUCCUCAGUUCGGAUUGCAGGCUGGCAAUUCGCCUGCAUGAAGUUGGAAUCGCUAGUAAUCGCGUAUCAGCUAUCACGCGGUGAAUGUGUUCCUGAGCCUUGUACACACCGCCCGUCAAGUGAUGGAAGCCGGGAGUACCCGAAGUCGGGUUGCUAACCUUUUGGGGGCGCCUGCCGACGGUA